CCUAGAGUUGUAGGCUUUGCCUGCUAUCUCUUACCCAUGUCUUUUGAGUACCUUACGUUUCCUCGGCGGGUCCGCCCGCCGACUGGACAACCUUAAACCAUUUGCAGUUGCAAUCAGCGUCUGAAAAAAACAUAAUAGUUA
rnacentral:misc_RNA from 1 species